UUUCAUAUCUUUGACAUUCUCACAAAGUUCCUUGAUAUUCUCACUAAGACCCUUGAAGCUCUCACUAAUUUCUUUGAGCAUCCUUAUAACCAUUGUUUUGAAUUCUGAUUCUAGUAGUUUGU